rnacentral:rRNA from 1 species
UACAGAGGUCUCAAGCGUUGUUUCGGAUUCAUUGGGCGUAAAGGGCGCGUAGGCGGCCUUCUAAGUCGAACGUGAAAUACCCCGGGCUCAACCCGGGAACUGCGUCCGAUACUGGAAGGCUUGAAUCCGGGAGAGGGAUGUGGAAUUCCAGGUGUAGCGGUGAAAUGCGUAGAUAUCUGGAGGAACACCGGUGGCGAAGGCGACAUCCUGGACCGGUAUUGACGCUGAGGCGCGAAAGCCAGGGGAGCAAACGGGG